GAUGAACGCUAGCGGCAGGCUUAAUACAUGCAAGUCGAGGGGCAGCACAGAUAGCAAUAUUGGGUGGCGACCGGCAAACGGGUGCGGAACACGUACACAACCUUCCUUUUAGUGUGGGAUAGCCCAGAGAAAUUUGGAUUAAUACCACAUAGUAUAUUGGAGUGGCAUCACUUUGAUAUUAAAGAUUUAUCGCUAAAAGAUGGGUGUGCGUAUGAUUAGGUAGUUGGUAGAGGUAACGGCUCACCAAGCCUUCGAUCAUUAACUGGUGUGAGAGCACGACCAGUCACACGGGCACUGAGACACGGGCCCGACUCCUACGGGAGGCAGCAGUAAGGAAUAUUGGUCAAUGGACGGAAGUCUGAACCAGCCAUGCCGCGUGAGUGAAGAAGGCCUUCGGGUUGUAAAGCUCUUUCGGCGGGGAAGAAAUUGCGCUCUCUAAUACAGGGUGUAGAUGACGGUACCCGCAUAAGAAGCACCGGCUAACUGCGUGCCAGCCGCCGCCGUAAUAC
rnacentral:rRNA from 1 species